rnacentral:rRNA from 1 species
UCCGUAGGUGAACCUGCGGAAGGAUCAUUAACGUGGGGGUAAAACCCUGCCGAGAUAGAACCCUUGCCUUUUGUAUACCGUCCGUUUCCUCGGCAGGCUCGCCUGUCGAUGGACCAAUUUAUAAACCUUUGCAAUAACCUGUAAUAGUCUGAUUUAAAAUUUAAAAAUUAAAACUUUCAACAACGGAUCUCUUGGUUCUGGCAUCGAUGAAGAACGCAGCGAAAUGCGAUAAGUAGUGUGAAUUGCAGAAUUCAGUGAAUCAUCGAAUCUUUGAACGCACAUUGCGCCCUUUGGUAUUCCUUAGGGCAUGCCUGUUCGAGCGUCAUUUUAACCUUCAAGCUCUGCUUGGUGUUGGGUGUCUGUCCUGCCCCCGGGCUUGGACUCGCCUUAAAAUUAUUGGCGGCCGGUACAUUGGCUUCGAGCGCAGCAGAAACGCGAACUCGGGGACUUUGUGGCGGCUCCCAUGAGCAUUUUUUAUAAUCUUGACCUCGGAUCAGGUAGGGAUACCCGCUGAACUUAA